CUGAGCUGGGCUGGGCUGAGCUGGGCUGAAAUGGGUUGAACUGGUCUUGACUAGCCGAGCCUUGGUAAAGUUUGCUCAGCUGAGUUGAAGUGGGCUGGCCUGAGCUGAGCUGAGCAGAGCUUAACUGGACUAAAAUGGGUUGAACUGGGCUGACCAGAGCUAACCUGGGAUGAACUGGGAUGAGCUGGGCUGAGCUGGGCAGGGCUGGCCUGCACUGGACUAAGGUGGACUGAACUUGGCUGAGCUGUGCUGAACAGGGUUGAGCUGGGAUGCACUUGGUUGAACUGAAUGGGCUGAACCUAACUGGGGUGAGCUGAGCUGAGUUGGACUCAGUCUGGUCAAGCAGGGUCGUGUCUUCUAUGAGCCCCGCUUGUCCUAGCUUAGUUGUGCUAAAAUUGACUUCAACUUACUGAGAAGGCUGUCCUUGGCUUACAGGUUGAAAUGGGCUGAGUCAGAGUAACUUGGUUUAAUUUUGUGGACUGAAGUAAGAUGAGAUCAAAGCUGGAAAUGUUCUAUUCCAGGCUCACCUGGAUGAGGAUGGACCAACAGGGGCUCUCUGGAACUGAGCUGGACUGAAAUGGUCUGGGCCGAGCAGUGCUGGCACACAGAGCUGGUUGGUGUUCCUGGUGCCAGCUGUCCUCGCACAGGGUCACCUAGACCAUAAGAGCAGAGUGGACCGGGGGGUAAAGAAGCUAGAGCAGGGUAGGAGGGGCUGAACUCCAAGGUUCCCGAGCCAGGGGAGGGGCUGGCUGAGUCACCCACUGAAGGAAGACUUCAAGUGAGCUCUGAGGUGCCCCCGUCAUCUCCCCAUGGAGCCUGAGUUGGACUUCCUUGGAGUCUCCGAAAAACCCCCGUCCGUCUUUCCGCUGGUCCCCUGCCACAGCAGCAUCAGCACUGGGGACUCCUCUGUGACGCUCGGCUGCCUGAUCAAGGACUACAUCCCGGAGCCUGUGAACGUGACCUGGGACGCAGGGUCCCUGGAACAUAGCGUCAUGACCCUUCCUGGCACCUUAGACUCGACCUUAGGCCUCUACACCACCAUCAGCCAGGUGACAACUGCCUCAGCUGAGUGGGCCACACAGAAGUUCACCUGCAGCGUGGAGCACGAGGGGGGUGCCCCUGUGAAAAGGAUUGUGUAUGAUAAAGCAGUGUGUGCCACCAACGUCACCCAGCCCACUGUGAAGCUGUACCACUCCUCCUGCAACCCCAGCGGCAAUACCCAGGCCACCAUCCAGCUCCUGUGCCUCAUCUCCGACUUCACCCCAGGUGACGUCACAGUCACCUGGUUGGUGGACGGGCACACAGACAAGAACAUGUUCCCACACAUCAGCCCCGCAAAACAGGAGCACAACCUGUCCUCCGUCGUCAGCCAGCUCAACAUCACCCAGGGCGAGUGGGUAUCCCAAAAAACCUACACCUGCCAGGUCUACUAUCAAGGCUGCACAUUUCAGAAGCAUGCCCGCAACUGCCCAGAGUCCGAGUCCCGAGGUGUGAGCGUCUACCUGAUCCCACCCAGCCCCCUUGACCUGUACCUCCACAAGUAGCCCAAGAUCACCUGUCUGGUAGUGGACCUGGCCAGCGACGACAGUGUGAACCUGCAGUGGUUCUGGGAGAGCAGGGGCCUCGUGAAAGGCACCACGUGGAACAGCAAGCUCCAAUUCAACAUGACCUACACCAUCACAUCCACCCUGCCAGUGGAGGCCGACGACUGGAUCGAGGGCGAGACCUAUGAGUGCAGACUGAGCCACCCGCACCUGCCCAAGGACAUUGUGCGCACAAUCUCCAAGGGCAACGGCAAGCGUGUUGUCCCCGAGGUCUACGUGUUCCUGCCACCUGAGGAGGAGCAGGGGAACAAGGACACGCUCACCCUCACCUGCCUGAUCCAGAACUUCUUCCCUGCGGACAUCUCGGUGCAGUGGCUGUGCAACGACUCCCUGAUUCCAACCAACAAGCAAGCCACCACGUGGCCCCUCAAGGCCAACAGCUCCAGCCGCACCUUCUUUGUCUUCAGCCGCUUGGAGGUCAGCCGAGCAGACUGGGAGAAGAGGAGCCAGUUCACCUGCCGAGUGGUCCACGAGGCUCUGUCAGGCUCUAGGACCCUCGAGAAAUCAGUGUCCAAAGCCCCUGGUAAUUGAUGCCAUCCCUCCUGCCUCUCCCAGGGCUCCAUCCAUCCUGCUGGGACGGGGAGGGUGCCGGCCAGCCCUUCCACUCAGUGGUGUCAAUAAAUACUCCAGUGCCU